rnacentral:ncRNA from 1 species
UAAUAUAUUAUAUAGGGGUUAAUGUGUUAAUAAUCACCUAGCCUAGACCUUGAAUCUAAACCCCCUAACCUUCUAAAUCAUCGACCCAUAACCCUUCUAAAGACGCAAUGUGAUUUAUUCCCAUUGUUAUGCAUGUCAAAGUGAAGAAAUUCAACCAAGUUGAGGUAAACAAUGGGAGUAACUAUGACUCUCUUAAGGUAGCCAGAUGCCUCGUAAUAUAAUUAGUGGCGUGCAUGAAUGUAUCAUUAACAAUAUUCCCCAUUUUCCCUAGCUACUAUAUUUUAUAGAAACCACAUCCAAGGGAAUGGGCUUGGCAAACUUAGCGGGGAAAGAAGACCCUGUUGAGAUUGACUCUAGUCCUAACCCAUUCAUAGAUUGGA